rnacentral:rRNA from 1 species
UUGAACGCUGGCGGCAUGCCUUACACAUGCAAGUCGAACGGUAACAGGUUAAGCUGACGAGUGGCGAACGGGUGAGUAAUAUAUCGGAACGUGCCCAGUCGUGGGGGAUAACUGCUUGAAAGAGCAGCUAAUACCGCAUACGACCUGAGGGUGAAAGCGGGGGACCGUAAGGCCUCGCGCGAUUGGAGCGGCCGAUAUCAGAUUAGCUAGUUGGCGGGGUAAAAGCCCACCAAGGCGACGAUCUGUAGCUGGUCUGAGAGGACGACCAGCCACACUGGGACUGAGACACGGCCCAGACUCCUACGGGAGGCAGCAGUGGGGAAUUUUGGACAAUGGACGCAAGUCUGAUCCAGCCAUGCCGCGUGCGGGAAGAAGGCCUUCGGGUUGUAAACCGCUUUUGUCAGGGAAGAAACGCUCCUAUCUAAUACAUGGGGGUAAUGACGGUACCUGAAGAAUAAGCACCGGCUAACUACGU